AUGACGAACACAAAGGGAAAGAGGAGAGGCUCCCGACAUAUGUUCUCUAGGCCUUUUAGAAAACAUGGAGUUGUUCCUUUGGCCACGUAUAUGCGAAUCUAUAAGAAAGGUGAUAUUGUAGACAUCAAGGGAAUGGGUACUGUUCAAAAAGGAAUGCCCCACAAGUGUUACCAUGGCAAAACUGGAAGAGUCUACAAUGUUACCCAGCAUGCUGUUGGUAUUGUAAACAAACAAGUUAAGGGCAAGAUUCUUGCCAAGAGAAUUAAUGUGCAUAUUGAGCACAUUAAGCACUCUGAGCCGAGAUAGCUUCCUGAAAUGUGUGAAGGAAAAUGAUCAGAAAAAGAAAGAAGCCAAAGAGAAAGGUACCUGGGUUCAACUGAAGUGCCAGCCUGCUCCACCCAGAGAAGCACACUUUGUGAGAACCAAUGGGAAGGAGCCUGAACUGCUGGAACCUAUUCCCUAUGAAUUCAUGGCAUAA
rnacentral:lncRNA from 10 species